rnacentral:rRNA from 1 species
UGGGGAAUUUUGGACAAUGGGCGCAAGCCUGAUCCAGCCAUGCCGCGUGCGGGAAGAAGGCCUUCGGGUUGUAAACCGCUUUUGUCAGGGAAGAAAUCUUCUGAGUUAAUACCUCGGGAGGAUGACGGUACCUGAAGAAUAAGCACCGGCUAACUACGUGCCAGCAGCCGCGGUAAUACGUAGGGUGCAAGCGUUAAUCGGAAUUACUGGGCGUAAAGCGUGCGCAGGCGGUUUUGUAAGACAGAGGUGAAAUCCCCGGGCUCAACCUGGGAACUGCCUUUGUGACUGCAAGGCUUGAGUGCGGCAGAGGGGGAUGGAAUUCCGCGUGUAGCAGUGAAAUGCGUAGAUAUGCGGAGGAACACCGAUGGCGAAGGCAAUCCCCUGGGCCUGCACUGACGCUCAUGCACGAAAGCGUGGGGAGCAAACAGGAUUAGAUAGCCCCUGGUAGUCCACGCCCUAAACGAUGUCAACUGGUUGUUGGGAAGGUUCCUUCUCAGUAACGUAGCUAACGCGUGAAGUUGACCGCCUGGGGAGUACGGCCGCAAGGUUGAAACUUAAAGGAAUUGACGGGGUCAUAGCUGUUUCCUG